CUUGGUCAUUUAGAGGAAGUAAGAGUCGUAACAAGGUCUCCGUAGGUGAACCUGCGGAGGGAUCAUUCAGGAAGCAGGCGCCCAGGCGCCCUUCUCUCCCUUAAACCAUGUGGUCCUAUGCCAUGCCUCGGGGGGGUCAAGCGGCCUAGGCCGUGGGGUCCUUUGAGGCCCGCCCCCCCGCGUCUGUCGUGCCUCGGGCGAGUCCGCUCGUCCGGGAGCCGGCAUGCUUCAGUCUUGGAGUGAUGAUUGUGUCUGAUCAGUCCAGUGGACAGAAUUAUUAAAACUUUCAACAACGGAUCUCUUGGCUCUCGCAUCGAUGAAGAACGCAGCAAGUUGCGAUACGUAGUGUGAACUGCGUCUAUUAGUGAAUCAUCGAAUCUUUGAACGCACAUUGCGCCGCCCGUCGCUGGGUGGCAUGCCUGUCUGAGCGUCGCUCUAAACCCUCACACCCCAAUCGGGUUGUGGUCAUGGGCCUCGCCCCUCCCCUCCAUUGGGUCGGGGGCGUGGCCUGAAAGGCAUCGGUCGCUGGCCCCCCUUUGGGUCUCGGUGUGCGAGUCUGCUUGACGUCUCGCCGGGACCGAUCGGGGGCAGGGGAGACCCUAAACUUAUGAACCUUUGACCUCAGAUCAGGUAGGACUACGGGCUGAACUUAAGCAUAUCAAUAAGCGGAGGA
rnacentral:rRNA from 1 species